AUCAUGUUGCAUGAACCAAAAAGAUAAUUUCUCCCACAAAGAGGGAAAAGAAAAAGAAGAAAAUCAGAAAUGCGCGGCAAAACGGCUCGCUGGUUACAAUUAAGAAUAAAAAUAUAAUAAUUUAAAGAGUUCUAAUUUUUUACUUAAGAAAAUCUCUGCUUAUUGCUAAGCACAUUCUCCGACUCCGAGGUCCCAAUAGGGCUGUGAUUAUUCACUUCAGGGAUCCCUGGAUAGCUUGACUCUGAACUUUGGAGUUUCAGAUUUUAUCAGUAAACUGAACAUGCAAGCCCAACUCUGUACUGUUGCAGGGAUUUCUUGGUAAUUCUAUGUUGAAUUUUGGAGUUCCGAUCGGCUUACUUGUAAACUAGAGAGGUGAGCACAAAUCCAUCUACUACCAGCACUCGUGCUUUGUUAUUUUUAUCUUGUAGUUCUGAAAAGAUUAGCUUUCAGAGCAUCAAAUCUUGCCAUUCCAUUUUCUUUAUUUGAUAAGGAUGCAUCUUGGCCUAAAUGUUGUUAUCUGAAAAAAAAUGACUUUUGGCUGAUUGACUUGGCUGACUUUACAUCAGAAUAUUUACUGAACAGGAGACUGGAAAGAGGUGCAAGUCAAGCAAUAUAUGUGGUUUACUAAAAUACACUAGAAAGAAGAAUCAGUUCUAGAACUGUUUGGAUUACUAAACUAAUUAAUUUUAACUGUCUAAGAUGAAUAACCAUUAAUCAUUGGAAUCCUACCAAAUUCAUAAAUGCAUGAUGUGCUUACUGCA